AUAAUGAUACUUCCGUAAUUCGCGGCCAGGACACAAAGCAGACCGGGUGGCUGAAAUGCCAAUGA
rnacentral:ncRNA from 1 species